UAAGGGAUAUUGGUCAAUGGGGCGGGAGCCUGAACCAGCCAUGCCGCGUGAGGGAAUGAGGCCCUACGGGUCGUAAACCUCUUUUGCCGGGGGAUAACGGGCGCCACGUGUGGCGCCGUGAAGGUACCCGGAGAAUAAGCAUCGGCUAACUCCGUGCCAGCAGCCGCGGUAAUACGGAGGAUGCGAGCGUUAUCCGGAUUUAUUGGGUUUAAAGGGUGCGCAGGCGGGCGUCUAAGUCAGCGGUGAAAGUUCCCGGCUCAACCGGGUCAGUGCCGAUGAUACUGUGAGGCUGGAAUGCGGAUGCUGUGGGAGGAAUGAGUGGUGUAGCGGUGAAAUGCAUAGAUAUCACUCAGAACACCGAUUGCGAAGGCAUCUCACAAAUCCGCAAUUGACGCUGAGGCACGAAAGCGUGGGGAUCGAACAGGAUUAGAUACCCUGGGUAGU
rnacentral:rRNA from 1 species